CACUCUGGAAAGAGGCAGGUCGAGACAGGCCUGCCCACCGAAGGGCGUAACUCGGCAGUUUCGAAACCUGGUUUCGAGGGUUCCGAGGAAAUCUCUCAGGUUACGGGACAGAGGG
rnacentral:ncRNA from 2 species